AAGAUGAGCAAAGAAGUAACUGGAAAGGUCAUUGUUUAAUUUAACUUUGUAAACUUUUCAAUGUGUCAUUUGUUUCAGUUCAACUUCAUAUCGACUCAGGUGCUACAUGGCCUAACCAAAUGACACAUUAAAAAGUUUACGAAGCGAAAUUAAACAAUAACCUUUCCACAAAAUUCUUUGCUCGUCUUCU